GCAGCUGGAGAAGGAUAGACCAGGAACUUCAAAGCCAGGGCUUUUUGGUCUCCUACAAUAAGAAAAAUGCCAAGGGCCCAUCUAAUGAACUUGUAGAAUAUUUGGCCACAGUUGUAGAAAUGCAGAGACUAACAUACUGCCACAGGUGAGGCUUUGUCCGCAGUUCCGGAAAGACAAGCCAUGCCAAAAUCAACGACUGAAGGGUUUGGAGCGCCAGGCAAAGAGCCUAGAAAUGUGAUUUAACCGUACUUCAAUCACAUGAACAGUAGCAGGAGCAAAAACAGCAGCAAACACACAGGAGAUGUAAUGACUACAUUGACCAAUACCAACAACUACAGCAGCAUCAACAAUAUCUGCAAAAACCACACUGGCAACCUCAACAACAUCAAGAUGUUCAACAACCACUUCGGGAAUUCAACAAACACAUCAGCAGAAA